GAUGAACGCUGGCGGCGUGCUUAACACAUGCAAGUCGAACGAGAAGUGGAGACGGAAACCUUCGGGCGGAAGACUUUAUUUCGAGUGGCGGACGGGUGAGUAACGCGUGGGUAACCUGCCUCAUACAGGGGGAUAACAGUUGGAAACGACUGUUAAUACCGCAUAAGACCACAGCACCGCAUGGUGCGGGGGUAAAAACUCCGGUGGUAUGAGAUGGACCCGCGUUCGAUUAGCCAGUUGGCGGGGUAACGGCCCACCAAAGCGACGAUCGAUAGCCGAUCUGAGAGGAUGACCGGCCACAUUGGGACUGAGACACGGCCCAAACUCCUACGGGAGGCAGCAGUGGGGAAUAUUGCACAAUGGGGGAAACCCUGAUGCAGCGACGCCGCGUGAGUGAAGAAGUAUUUCGGUAUGUAAAGCUCUAUCAGCAGGGAAGAAAAUGACGGUACCUGAGUAAGAAACCCCGGCUAACUACGU
rnacentral:rRNA from 1 species